AGUUUUUCUCCUUCCCCGUGGGGAUUGCUAGCUACCUUAGAUCCUUGAUCACCGUGGAAGACUAAGCCAUGAUGAACGCGGUAGGAGCCGCUUGCCUUUUCAAUGAGUCCCAACAUGCACUAAAUCGGGUAACUUCGAGGGUCCCUAUAUUAUUUCUUUUAUACUUGGAGUUGUAGAUAAUUCUAACAUCUUUUUCCUUGUUUGCAGGCUUCUGUAUUGCAUCACAAGGCUUUCCUCCGAAUCCGCGAGGAGCACGGGGCUGAGGUUCGGGACCUCACUGAGAAAAAUGACACC
rnacentral:lncRNA from 1 species